rnacentral:rRNA from 1 species
GACGAACGCUGGCGGCGUGCCUAAUACAUGCAAGUUGAGCGCUGAAGGUUGGUACUUGUACCGACUGGAUGAGCAGCGAACGAGUGAGUAACGCGUGGGGAAUCUGCCUUUGAGCGGGGGACAACAUUUGGAAACGAAUGCUAAUACCGCAUAAAAACUUUAAACACAAGUUUUAAGUUUGAAAGAUGCAAUUGCAUCACUCAAAGAUGAUCCCGCGUUGUAUUAGCUAGUUGGUGAGGUAAAGGCUCACCAAGGCGAUGAUACAUAGCCGACCUGAGAGGGUGAUCGGCCACAUUGGGACUGAGACACGGCCCAAACUCCUACGGGAGGCAGCAGUAGGGAAUCUUCGGCAAUGGACGAAAGUCUGACCGAGCAACGCCGCGUGAGUGAAGAAGGUUUUCGGAUCGUAAAACUCUGUUGGUAGAGAAGAACGUUGGUGAGAGUGGAAAGCUCAUCAAGUGACGGUAACUACCCAGAAAGGGACGGCUAACUACGUG